rnacentral:rRNA from 1 species
UGGGGAAUAUUGCACAAUGGGCGCAAGACUGAUGCAGCCAUGCCGCGUGUAUGAAGAAGGCCUUCGGGUUGUAAAGUACUUUCAGCGGGGAGGAAGGCGAUAAGGUUAAUAACCUUGUCGAUUGACGUUACCCGCAGAAGAAGCACCGGCUAACUCCGUGCCAGCAGCCGCGGUAAUACGGAGGGUGCAAGCGUUAAUCGGAAUUACUGGGCGUAAAGCGCACGCAGGCGGUCUGUCAAGUCGGAUGUGAAAUCCCCGGGCUCAACCUGGGAACUGCAUUCGAAACUGGCAGGCUAGAGUCUUGUAGAGGGGGGUAGAAUUCCAGGUGUAGCGGUGAAAUGCGUAGAGAUCUGGAGGAAUACCGGUGGCGAAGGCGGCCCCCUGGACAAAGACUGACGCUCAGGUGCGAAAGCGUGGGGAGCAAACA